CCCAGCAGCCGUACCACCUCAGGCUGUGAUCUUGUCAGAUCUCACAAGCUAAGCAGGUCGAGCUUGGUUAGUAAUUGGAUAGAAGACCUCCAAGGAAAACCUGGGGUGCCGAAU
ensembl:rRNA 5S_rRNA 5S ribosomal RNA